rnacentral:rRNA from 1 species
GAUGAACGCUGGCGGCGUGCCUAAUACAUGCAAGUCGAGCGAACAGAUGAGGAGCUUGCUCCUCUGACGUUAGCGGCGGACGGGUGAGUAACACGUGGAUAACCUACCUAUAAGACUGGGAUAACUUCGGGAAACCGGAGCUAAUACCGGAUAAUAUAUUGAACCGCAUGGUUCAAUAGUGAAAGACGGUUUUGCUGUCACUUAUAGAUGGAUCCGCGCCGCAUUAGCUAGUUGGUAAGGUAACGGCUUACCAAGGCGACGAUGCGUAGCCGACCUGAGAGGGUGAUCGGCCACACUGGAACUGAGACACGGUCCAGACUCCUACGGGAGGCAGCAGUAGGGAAUCUUCCGCAGUGGGCGAAAGCCUGACGGAGCAACGCCGCGUGAGUGAUGAAGGUCUUCGGAUCGUAAAACUCUGUUAUUAGGGAAGAACAAAUGUGUAAGUAACUAUGCACGUCUUGACGGUACCUAAUCAGAAAGCCACGGCUAACUACGUG